rnacentral:lncRNA from 1 species
GGGGGGCGCGCGGGGCCCCGCGGCAGACCCCACGGGGGGCGGCCUCGCUGCCCGCAGCGGCCCGGCCGGGAAAGGGGCGGCGGCGGGGGACCGCAGGCGGGAGCCCGAAGGGGACCGCGCGAGGAGAGCCCCUUUCUGCCCGGGUAACUUACCAGAUUAAAUAUGGUUGAUGAUGGUUCUGAACAAAUACAGCUUUUAUGAGAAAUGUGAAUCCUGAGACUGAAUUCUCUAAAGGGCCUGUACAACGUAAUAGAUGUUGGUGGAACCAUUUACACCCAGUCAGCUUGAAGAGUCUCAAAUGGACCCUACCACUGAGAAAACAAGAUGGCAGUCCACUAUGGGGAAUUGAGGAAAAUGGAUUAAUACAAGAGUGCUGUGAUAAUAUGCAACCAAGACAGGGUUCUUUUAACAUGGAUUUCAUGAAAUGAAUGAAGACAUAGGUUUCUUACCCAGCACAAAUGGACUUUCUAAAGACUUUUUGUAUCAUUAAAACAAGCACAUUUUUGACAUUUGGAGAAGAAAGAUGGCACAUUAACACAAAUGAUAGUUUGUAUGCCUGGAACUUUUUGCAGUUUGAUUUGUAUGAGUAUGACCUUGUGAAAUGUUAACUUUAAUAAAAUUUCUAACACUUUAAAAUUUCUCA